AGCUUUGCACAGUGGCAGUAUCAUAGCCAAUGAGGUUUAUCCAAGGUGCGAUUAUUGCUAAUUGAAAACUUUUCACAAAAUAAGUAUUUACUGACUCAACAAAUAUUCACUUGUGUCACCUGGGGCAUUAUGUUUGGUGACACAGUGAUGAG
rnacentral:snRNA from 1 species